rnacentral:lncRNA from 1 species
AGUUUUUAAUAUCUAGAUUCUGUCAGCUCUAGCUCCGUGUCCUCAAUCCACAAAUAUCCCUUGCAUGUGAAAUCUAUUAACUUUUUGCCCCUGAGGAUAUCUCUUCAAGGAAAUAAUAACUAGCUCCUGGCUUCACUGAGGUCGUGUGCAAAUGAAAGCACAGGCUGCUCCCUGUAGCCUCAAGCUUGCUCUGGACUGGUAGAUGAUGAAUCAUUGCACUCCUCUUCAUGUGCAGGAAGUAGCACCUAAACAUUUGACAUAGGAUCAGCAUCUGCAUCAUGGAUGCCUCAUGACAAAAGGCCUCUCUCCUGCAUCCUUCUAGACAAUGACAAGAAAGAAAAUGGAAAACAGUAGGUGAUUCUAUAAAUAGAUCAUGGAACUGUAACCAUG